rnacentral:rRNA from 1 species
CACUGACAUUAGAUACCCCGGUAGUCCCAGCCGUAAACAAUGUGCGUUAGGUGUGUCGGUAACCACGCGUUACUGAUGCGCCGAAGAGAAAUCGUGAAACGCACCACCUGGGAAGUACGGUCGCAAGGCUGAAACUUAAAGGAAUUGGCGGGGAGCACCACAACGGGUGGAGCCUGCGGUUUAAUUGGACUCAACGCCGGAAAUCUCACCGGAUAGGACAGACAUAUGAUAGUCGGGCUGAAGACUCUACUUGAUGAUCUG